rnacentral:lncRNA from 1 species
AUGAAACAAGAUGAAAAAAAAAAAGAGGUUAAUACUGUAACUAAAAAAGAUGUAGAGCCACAAAAAUUAAGUCAAUCUAAACAAAAGAAAAUCUUACCCAAUGUAGUUAUGCCUGAAAUUAUUUCAUCUAAUUACUCAAAGAGAAAUAAUAAGUAUAUGUUUCCUCGUAGGGGAAUAGUGCCUGUUAGUGUAUUGAAUGAAAUUUAUAUAAAUAGUAAACAGAGACGUACCAACAAAAACAUUAAUGAUAAAACGAGCAGCUCGAGUAGUACCAGUGAAAGUGGAAGCAGUAGUGGACGUAGCAGUGGAAAUGGUAAUGAAAGUGGUAAUGAAAGUGGUAGUAGUAGUAGCAGUAGUAGUGAUAGUGACAGUAGCAGUAACAGUGGUAGUAGCAAUGGUAGUGACAGUAGCAGCGAGAAUGACAAUAAUAGUGAUAGGGAGAAUAAUGGAACUGUCAAUAGCACAAGUAGAAACACAAACACAAGCAAAAACAGAAGUAGAAACACAAACACAAGCAAAAACAGAAGUAGAAAUACAAACACAAGCAAAAACAGAAGUAGAAAUACAUACAAAAGCAAAAACAGAAGUAGAAAUACAAACAUGGUAAGACACACAAACGUGAGCUGUAUCUUUAAUUCUAACGUACAAAUAUUAAAUAUAAUAAAUUAUAACCAACAACAAUAUGAUAAAAUCCAACAAUUAGACGAAGCAUUUUUUUUUAAUAACAAUUACGUACAGUUAUUCAUGAAAACAAGGACGAGAAUAUUUAAUAACGUUUGUUUAAUUCGUAAGUUGUUAAUAGCUAAAAUAAAUAAUAAAUUAGUAUCACUUUUAUCGGUAACACAAAACAAGAUCCAACAAAAUGUUAUUGCUUUAGAAAACUCUACUAUGAAGAGUGUUACAUAUUAUAGAAAUCAAAUAAAGACAAAUAAUUUUAUGUCUAUUAAUGUAAAAAGCAUAAGAAAUAUUCUCAAUUUUUAUGUAAAUCGUCACAGUUGCCACAGUUUGUAUAAUGUUAUUUUGUCAUUAAAUUUAUUUGUUGGUCUAUCAAUCAAUUAUACUAUCAAUAAAAAAAGGAAACUAAUAGGAUCAUUUGAAUUAAUUGAAUCAGGUGAUAGUAUUAUAAGUAAAAGACAAAAACUUAUGAUAAAGGACAAUGCAGGUAUUACACAAAGUGUUAUAAAUAUUGACAAGUCAUCCAAUGAUGAUAAUACUAUUACUAUAGUUGCUAAAAAAAAUGAAGGCAUAAAAAGAAAAGGCGUACAAAACACUAAAGUAAUACAAGACGAUAAUACCUCAAACGAUACAAUAGUGAGAAAAAACAAAAAACAAAAAGUAAAUGACGACAAUGUGAGUAAUAAUAAGGGAGAAAAUAAGGGAGAAAAUAAGGGAGAAAAUAAGGAAGAAAAUAAGGGAGAAAAUAAGGNNNNNNNNNNAGAAAAUAAGGGAGAAAAUAAGGAAGAAAAUAAGGGAGAAAAUAAGGGAGAAAAUAAAGGAGAAAAUAAGGAAGAAAAUAAGGAAGAAAAUAAGGAAGAAAAUAAGGGAGAAAAUAAGGAAGAAAAUGUGAAAAAACGAAUUCAUGAUCUUUCAAAGAAUGAGGUAUUUUGUGAAAAAUGUAUUAUUCACUACUUUAGUACAAAUACUACAGGUUUAUGUACAUGCAGAGAUGGGGUUAAUUUUAAUAAAAAAAAAAAAAGCAAGAUUAAUAUAAAGGCUGAUAUAAAACCUAUGGUACAACGUAAUAUAAUGUUAUACCAAGGUAAGUUAAUAAUAGUUAAAGGUAAUAAGGUGGAAACAAAAGAAGAAACAACAAGUAAGGGUCCAACAGUAAAAACUACAAAUACCCAGAGAGUUGAAGGAUUGGGUGUAAAUAACAAAGCAACAGGUGGUAAAAGAAAAUACACAAGGAGACAACCAAAAAACAAUACUAAUCCAAAAAUAACAACAAACAAAAUAAUAAAAAAAAAAGGUGAUAAUAAUAAUGUGGUGGCAACAAAAAAUGAUAAAAUACAGCCAAGUAAAUCAAAGACACCAAAAGUUGUGAAAGUUGUUUCAACAAAACAUUGGGUAAUGACAUUUACUCCACGUGUAAAUAAUGUAAUUCAUAUAACAAAUGACGAAGAAACAAAAAAGGAAAGUCCAAAAAAAAAAGCUGUAAUUAAGACAAACGGUGGUAUACAUAAGGGUGAUAUAAGAUAUUAUUUAACAAAAAAAAAAAACAAAACAAAUUAA